rnacentral:misc_RNA from 1 species
UCUCCGUUGGUGAACCAGCGGAGGGAUCAUUACAGAGUGUAAAAACUCCCAAACCCAAUGUGAACAUACCACUGUUGCUUCGGCGGACCCGCCCCGGGCGCUCCCAGAGUGCCCCGGAACCAGGCGGCCGCCGGGGGACCGAAACUCCUUGUUUUAUAGAGCAUCUCUGAGUGUGAUUAUAAAUCAAAUCAAAACUUUCAACAACGGAUCUCUUGGCUCUAGCAUCGAUGAAGAACGCAGC